rnacentral:rRNA from 1 species
AGAACGAACGCUGGCGGCAGGCUUAACACAUGCAAGUCGAACGGUUGUAGCAAUACAGCAGUGGCAGACGGGUGAGUAACACGUGGGAACCUUCCUAGGGGUACGGAACAACUCAGGGAAACUUGAGCUAAUACCGUAUACGUCCGUGAGGAGAAAGUUUUAACGCCCCUAGACGGGCCCGCGUAGGAUUAGGUAGUUGGUGAGGUAACGGCUCACCAAGCCUACGAUCCUUAGCUGAUCUGAGAGGAUGAUCAGCCACACUGGGACUGAGACACGGCCCAGACUCCUACGGGAGGCAGCAGUGGGGAAUCUUGGACAAUGGGCGCAAGCCUGAUCCAGCCAUGCCGCGUGAGUGAAGAAGGCCUUCAGGUUGUAAAGCUCUUUUACCAGGGACGAUAAUGACGGUACCUGGAGAAUAAGCCCGGCAAACUUCGUGCCUAGCAGCCGC